UGUACCGACUUCGGAUCGAAGUACCCACCUAUAUCUGUAGCUGCAUUUAGCUCCUAAGGUGCGAGAAUCAUCGACCGGACCUACGAUAGAUCCCUGAGUCAGGGUCCAAUCCUAUAACAUACUGGACUUCUAAAGUUAUGGAGUCACGGUGUAGGUUGGGCUGGAAAACUAUUUGAAUGGUUCCGGUGAGGUUCGGUGAAGUUCGGAAGCUUUCGGGCGUUUCGGUGCGCGUAGGCGCGAAAACGGAACCCGAAAGGCUAUGUUGGGCCGUGAGCUAAGUUCGGCAUUAGCG
rnacentral:lncRNA from 1 species